rnacentral:rRNA from 1 species
UGGGGAAUUUUGCACAAUGGGCGCAAGCCCGAUGCAGCGACGCCGCGUGAGGGAUGAAGGCCUUCGGGUUGUAAACCUUUUUCGCUCAUGGUCAAGCCGCAGCUUUGGGUUGUGGUGAGGGUAGUGGGUAAAGAAGCGCCGGCUAACUACGUGCCAGCAGCCGCGGUAAUACGUAGGGCGCGAGCGUUGUCCGGAAUUAUUGGGCGUAAAGGGCUUGUAGGCGGUUGGCCGCGUCUGCCGUGAAAUCCUCUGGCUUAACUGGGGGCGUGCGGUGGGUACGGGUUGACUUGAGUGCGGUAGGGGAGACUGGAAUUCCUGGUGUAGCGGUGGAAUGCGCAGAUAUCAGGAGGAACACCGGUGGCGAAGGCGGGUCUCUGGGCCGUUACUGACGCUGAGGAGCGAAAGCGUGGGGAGCGAACAGG